GCUAAUUUAUGAAUGCCCAGAAGAAACCAAAAACAUUUUGUGCAAGAUUCAAAAAUGGAAGGUUUCAAACCGCUUAUCAUUUGGGGAAAAUUUCUUUAAUUGUGGACCUAAACAAAGGAAAAACUCGUUGUAAGAACUAAAAUAAAACUCCUCUGUUGUGCACGAGAUUACCAGAAUAUAGUGACCCAGGUGAUAGUACGUUGUCAUGUUCAUAGUUGAAAGCAUCACCAUGCUCAAAGUUGACAUGUUAGUUGGUAACAAUGAAUUUAACGAUGUUGCCAACUACAAACAGUGAAAUUAGUUCACAUCAAAUAAUCUGAUGUCACCAUACCAGUUCUUAAUCGUAAGAAAUAACUUUGGAUAAAUUUUAGUAGGUAUUGUAGCAAUCUAACUGAAAUAG
rnacentral:lncRNA from 1 species